CCCCUCCCCUCCUCUCCUCUCCUCUGCGCCCUCCCAAAAGCCGCCCCCUGCCCAAAGAAAGAGCCACACACGCGCAGGCACAACCAACCCGCCGCCGCCUCCUCCUCCUCCUCCGAUCCCCCAAGGAGCCGCCGCGUCCCGAAAGGAGCAGCAGAUCCAUCCAUGGCGGCGCUUGGGUCCAAGCUGGCGAAGCUGCAAGCCAAGGCAUGCAAGGCGACGCGGUUCACGGCCACACAUGGCUGCGCCUAGCACAAGACCCUCAUGGAGAAGAACAAGUAGUUCGUCGUGCAGCCCCCCACCGUCAAAAAGUGUCAGGAGCUCUCCAAGCAGCUCUUCUACACCUGCAUCGCCAGGGAUGCCGUCGUAUGUCGUGUACAAGGGUGAGGUUCCCGGA